AAGGGAACUUCUACGGUACACCUGCAAAUUAAGGUGUAUCGGUACUCUUACUUCAAAAAUUUAUAAAUUAACUAUCAUUUUUAUGAAAUAAAAAGCUAUUUGUUGAUAUCUAUAUUUUAGAAAAUAUCAUUUCAUAAGAAAAAAAGCAUCAUUUCAUUGUUUAUAAAAAUCAUACUAAUUUUUUUAGAUUUAUUGUAAAAAAUAAUCAAAAUUCUCUAUUACGAGUACUAAAAAUUCAGAAAAAUCAAAUUUUAUUUCGUCGAUGUUUUUGAUAAAUAAGAUUUAAUUAUUAUAAUUAUAGGUGAUAGAAAACAAUUUUUCUCUUUAAAAAAUAACACAUUUAACUACUAAUUUAAUGAUUUAGUGUACCAAUACACUCAUAUCUUUGGGUGUACCAUAGAAUUUUCCUA
rnacentral:pre_miRNA from 1 species